AAUCAACGCUGGCGGCGUGCCUCAGACAUGCAAGUCGAACGCGAAAGUCCCCUUCGGGGGACAAGUAGAGUGGCGCACGGGUGAGUAACACGUAGGUAAUCCACCUUCGGAUGGGGAAUAACAACCGGAAACGGUUGCUAAUACCGCAUAAUGCAGCGGCACCUAAUGGUGACAGUUGUUAAAGCGGGGGAUCGAAAGACCUCGCGUCUGAAGAGGAGCCUGCGGCGGAUUAGCUAGNGGUAAGGUAACGGCUUACCAAGGCGACGAUCCGUAGCCGGCCUGAGAGGGCGGUCGGCCACACUGACACUGACAUACGGGUCAGACUCCUACGGGAGGCAGCAGUCGGGAAUUUUGGCAAUGGGCGAAAGCCUGACCCAGCAACGCCGCGUGAAGGAUG
rnacentral:rRNA from 1 species